rnacentral:rRNA from 1 species
UACGAAGGGGGCUAGCGUUGCUCGGAAUCACUGGGCGUAAAGCGCACGUAGGCGGACUCUUAAGUCGGUGGUGAAAUCCUGGAGCUCAACUCCAGAACUGCCUUCGAUACUGAGAGUCUUGAGUCCGGGAGAGGUGAGUGGAACUGCGAGUGUAGAGGUGAAAUUCGUAGAUAUUCGCAAGAACACCAGUGGCGAAGGCGGCUCACUGGCCCGGUACUGACGCUGAGGUGCGAAAGCGUGGGGGCGAAACAGGAUUAGAUCCCCGA